CGGGCUGCAUGGAAAGAAGUGCUUUCUUUGUGCUGGGGUUGCCACUCCCUGGGAGAGCUUGAUUGAGAAUAAAGCUGAUAUAUGGAAAAAGCAGAGCCAAGAGAUGGCAGGUUUGAGAUGGACUUCUGUUAUUGACAACCCAGAGGUUCCUGACUAACGCAUCAUUCAUUUGUCAAACACUGUGCUCCUGCUCUAUGCCAGACUACACAGGAUGGUGGAAUCCGAGGAUGACUGCGACACAGCUCCUGCCUUCAAGGAGCUUGGAGUCUCCUAAGCCUUGUCCAAAUGCUGCUCCUCUGUGACUACUUGGCCAGCUCCCACAGACAGUGAGCCCCCUUCUCCCCUCUGCUUCCCAGCACUAGGUUCACACUAUUCAUUCAAUGAAUAUUGCCAGGAGUGGUGGCUUAUGCCUGUAAUUCCAAGACUUUGGGAGACUGAGGCAAGUGGAUCACUUGUGGCCAGGAGUUUGAGACCAGCCUGAGCAACACAGGGAGACCCCACUUCUACAAAGAAAUAAAAACAUUAGGUGAUGUGGUGUUCACACCUGUAAUCUCAGCUACUCAGGAGGCUGAGGCAGGAGGAUCCCUUGAACCCAGGAGGUUGAAGCUGCAGGGAGCUAUGGUUGCACCACCAGCCUGGGCGAGAGUGAAGUUCAUUGGUUACCUACUUCAGGCCAGGCUCCAUGUUCCUCCUAUUGUAGAAUUGUCCCAGACUGUGUCUGCCUCUGCCUCUUAGACUGUAUGUUCUUGGAUAAUGGGCACCAUGCUGGUGAAUCCCCAGUGCCUAAGGCUGCGCCUAACGUGUGCUAAUUGCUUGUGUUUAUUGAAUGAAUGAAAGAAUGUGGAUUUCUGUGUGUGUUUAUGUGUGUUGGGAUGAGGGAGUGGACAACCAAAGAGAAGGACAAUAUGACAUAGCACCCAUAGCAGAGGAGAGGGUCCUGGAAGUUUCUAGAUCCAGCCAGGGCUCAGCCAGAAAAGCCAGCACACGGCUCUGAUCAAUUGAAUAAGAGCAGAUGUCUCCCUGCAGAUAGAUGCCUUCCCCACAUUUGCAACACAGGCGUCCCUGUCUCAGCACCAGUCCUGAAGAGCUGUCUCUGGAAGUUUUUCCCUUCUCCAAACCCCACCCAUAGUGUCCCGCCUGGCCACUACAUGGAUUCGUGUGAGGGCUCAAUGUAGCCUCUCCCUCUCAGGCUGACGGGGCCCAUUCUUCACACACAGCACUCGCUCACCAACAUGGGCUGGGGCCUCCUCAGAGCCGUGGAGGCAGGGAGUCACGGACUGACAGCCGGGCCUCAGGUGAGCCAAAACGCCC
rnacentral:lncRNA from 1 species